rfam:Brassica oleracea var. oleracea cultivar TO1000 chromosome C9, whole genome shotgun sequence
AACCCAUGGUGAGGGCAUUCCGUUCGGUACUCCUUCUAGUGCUCCCAAGAAUCAUAGAAAGAUUCGUCAGUCUUUUGCUUCAAAUUUGAGAUCUUAUGCCUCAGAGC